GCAGCUGUUACAACACUAAUUGAAAUAUGUUUUUAAAUAUAUCAGGUUUCCAAACAUUUGCAGAAGAAUUAUUUUUUUCCCCUGUGUUCAAAACUCAGUAUUUCAGCCAUUUAAAAGGAGUGCCUAAUCCUUACAAUGCAUUAGUAGGUCAUAAAAUAAAGCUGAAGUAUAGGUAUUUUAUACUGGGGAUGGGGAUAAGUCUACAAUUGUAGGUGGAUGGGGAGAAACUACAACAGUAGGUGGAUGGGGAGAACCUACAACUGUAGGUAGCCCUGGAUGCUUUAUCAUCUAUUUAGCUAUCACACAGUAAGAACGUUGUCAUGCAAUGUCAUGAGAUGGCGAUGGGUUGAAAGGAAGCAGAUGCGAACACCCCACCUCCCAGGUUUUACCCAGUCUCAUAUGAGAUGAUCUAUGUCAUCCAUGUGGGAUGGAGUUAGGAGAGAGGCAGCUCACAGGAGGGCUCAAAAACACUUGUGUGUCAUCAGGUGGAUGCAUGAUGUAGAAGCCACAGUGAAGUGGCUUCUCACUGAAAUGAAACUAAAUGAUAAAUCUCUCUCAAAUAUGUAAAGGAAGUGUUUAGGCUUUUUCUCAUCCCAUCAUUUCCAAAAAGAGGUUUCCACAGGGGCUUGUGCUCAAUUUACAGAGGGGAAAUUAUAACUAAUCUCUUUGCAAAGUCUCUAAAAUUGCAUUUCUGUUAAAGCAAAACAACAACAAAGAAAUCUCUAACAGUAAGUAUAUCUCAAUCUUCCUGGGCUAAAGGUCUGUGACUGAAAAGCUGUGUGUUGCCCAUUUGCAGUGGUAUAGAAGUCAGAAGACAUCAGAUCAUAAGCCAUCACUGGUCCCAGACUAAAUAUCACCCAUCCUUUGCCUAAGGCAAGUGGGUCUUUUUUCUAUGGGAGGGGGCCAAACAGAAAUCCCACUCUUUGGAGGAAAGAAGGAAACAUUUUUGUGACAGUUUGUUUAUAUUUUUUAAAGGCAGAUCUUUUGAAGCUGCUUGGGGGUUUGGAUGUUAGAUGUAGUCCCAAUGGAGAUGGAUUAGAGGCCAGAGCACAGCGAAGCGGUCAAAGGUGCAAGAUAAAUGCAAUUUAUAUAUAAUUGCCCAAGCUGCACCUGUUCCGUUUUGAAUGGGAGACCUUGCCUGCAGAGCAAAUUUCACAAGCCUAGAAUAUAUCCCUUUUUUUUUUCUUUAUCUCAGUGUAAAAUAGGGAAUUCUAAACUUGUAUCAGAGUAAAGCAAGAAAAAAUAAUCUUUAAAUAGCAUGUAAAUUUUUUAUGAAUCAAGCUCUAAAUAAAGAAAACUCCUGAGCUGGGAAUUCAAAAUACUAGCCAAAGAGAGAUGAUUUGCUACCAGGCUCAAGAACAAUAUUUAGUUUACAGAAUCAAUCUGGAAAUAAAACUAGUGCUUGCAUCAGCAUGAAAGCUACAAAAAUAAAAAAAAGGUCUUAAUAAAAUAUACAGUGGAAAAGGAAAGGAUGAAAGCACUAGCACAGCUAUGAGGCCCUCAGCAGCCCACACAAGUAAUAAAAUAGAAUAUGAUGUAAUAUAGAACAACAAUGAAAGGAUUUAAAAUUUCUAGGUAGGAUUCUGAAAAACUGUUUCCAGCUUUUGUUGCAGAGCAGGCACGCUGCAAGUUUCCUUGUGAAGCUACGAUAAAGCUGGUGUGUAGCAGACAUGGGUGUUGACAACAUCCGAACAAACACUAACCUUCACCUUACUCCUGAAUCAGCCCAAUGCAGCGUUGGCAGGCUGGAUUUCUACCCAGGAGCCAGGAUAUUUCUGUUUCUAGAUGCUCCAUUCUGUUUGCUCUCCUGCUCACUUACCUACUGCUGUUUUCCCUCCUUAUCUGCAAUGCAAAGAUCUUUGUGCUCACCACAUGCUUUGCCAUGAAGGCAACCAUCGUCUUCACCUUUAGUAAGGAAAGUGUCUUGAACCUUGUGCUAAGCAGCUUGGAGAAAGCUGAGAUUAGACGCACGCAGUAUCUGCUCAACUAAUUUCAGCCUGACCAAAGUUCAUAAGACUUCACAGGAAAAUAAUGUGAGCACUUAAUUCCCGUGCUACCUGCCACGCUCUGCACCGUAAUUACAGUGCUGCAUCCCCUGGUUUUAAAGAAGUAGGACCUUGUGAAGCUCAAACUCCAAGAGGCAUACGUAACUUCUUUUAAAAUUAAAUGGCAUCCCAAAAUUAACAUGGCAGAAUUUGUUCCUGCAACAAACAAUGACCUCUACACUAAAUUUCAGAUCAGCUAGAACCAAUGUAAUUCUCUCAUUACAGUAAUAAAAUAAAUUCUCCUUGUCCAUAUGAAGCUAGAAGCUAUUGCAGAAUACUGCUAAUACUGCAUAAAUGAAAGACAAUGGAUUGUGAAAUUUAGGCCCCUUUUUCUGCUGUGCUCAAGCUGUGGCAGAAAUGGCAUACAGAGGUAAUCACAGAGCUCAUUGAUCUGCAACCACAUGGUCCUACCAAAAGUUCUCAGAUUGACACAAAGAACUGGC